GAUGAACGCUAGCUACAGGCUUAACACAUGCAAGUCGAGGGGAAACGACAUCGAAAGCUUGCUUUUGAUGGGCGUCGACCGGCGCACGGGUGAGUAACGCGUAUCCAACCUGCCCACCACUUGGGGAUAACCUUGCGAAAGUAAGACUAAUACCCAAUGACGUCUCUAGAAGACAUCUGAAAGAGAUUAAAGAUUUAUCGGUGAUGGAUGGGGAUGCGUCUGAUUAGCUUGUUGGCGGGGUAACGGCCCACCAAGGCGACGAUCAGUAGGGGUUCUGAGAGGAAGGUCCCCCACAUUGGAACUGAGACACGGUCCAAACUCCUACGGGAGGCAGCAGUGAGGAAUAUUGGUCAAUGGACGAGAGUCUGAACCAGCCAAGUAGCGUGCAGGAUGACGGCCCUAUGGGUUGUAAACUGCUUUUAUAAGGGAAUAAAGUGAGUCUCGUGAGACUUUUUGCAUGUACCUUAUGAAUAAGGACCGGCUAAUUCCGU
rnacentral:rRNA from 1 species